rnacentral:rRNA from 1 species
AUUGAACGCUGGCGGAAUGCUUUACACAUGCAAGUCGAACGGCAGCACGGACUUCGGUCUGGUGGCGAGUGGCGAACGGGUGAGUAAUGCAUCGGAACGUGCCCAAUCGUGGGGGAUAACGUAGCGAAAGUUACGCUAAUACCGCAUACGAUCUAAGGAUGAAAGCGGGGGAUCGCAAGACCUCGCGCGAAUGGAGCGGCCGAUGUUAGAUUAGGUAGUUGGUGGGGUAAAGGCUCACCAAGCCGACGAUCAAUAGCUGGUCUGAGAGGAUGAUCAGCCACACUGGGACUGGGACACGGCCCAGACGCCUACGGGAGGCAGCAGUGGGGAAUUUUGGACAAUGGGCGCAAGCCUGAUCCAGCCAUUCCGCGUGCAGGAUGAAGGCCCUCGGGUUGUAAACUGCUUUUGUACAGAACGAAAAGCUCUGGGUUAAUACCCUGGGGUCAUGACGGUACUGUAAGAAUAAGCACCGGCUAACUACGUGCCAGCCGCCGCCGUAA